AUCUGGUUCAGGCGAACGCUGGCGGCGUGCCUAAUACAUGCAAGUCGAACGGUCUUUCUAUGGAAGCUUGCUUCCACUGAGAAGAUAGUGGCGAACGGGUGAGUAACACGUGGGUAACCUGCCCAUAAGAGGGGGAUAACAUCCGGAAACGGGUGCUAAUACCGCAUAGUUUUCUUGAUCGCAUGAUUGAGAAAGGGAAGACGGCCUUUGUGCUGUCGCUUAUGGAUGGACCCGCGGCGUAUUAGUUAGUUGGUGAGGUAACGGCUCACCAAGACGAUGAUACGUAGCCGACCUGAGAGGGUGAUCGGCCACAUUGGGACUGAGACACGGCCCAAACUCCUACGGGAGGCAGCAGUAGGGAAUCUUCCGCAAUGGACGAAAGUCUGACGGAGCAACGCCGCGUGAGUGAAAGAAGGUUUUCGGAUCGUAAAACUCUGUUGUCAGAGAAGAACAAGUUGGAGAGUAACUGCUCCAGCCUUGACGGUAUCUGACCAGAAAGCCACGGCUAACUACGUGCCAGCCGCGGC
rnacentral:rRNA from 1 species